UGUAAAUACAUAUUACCUGAAACGCUUUUUUUUACGUUUACUACUCAGCAGUCUCCCUAUAUUUUCGCAAUCAUAAAUAUUGAAACAGCAGCGAAACGAGUUCAAAAAUCUUUUGAAUUGUCCGCAAUAAGCAGCAGGCUUAUCGACGCCCACACAAUAAAUGAUUUGAGGUGUGAAAAAGCAAUUAAUUUUUUACUAUAAAUUGCUUUUAUGUUGAAAUACAAAAUCACACACUUAACGGUACAUAAAAUCUUUAGAUGCGUCUCAAAAAAUAUUGCUUCACCGUAAAAUAUUGAAUUCUAAUGAAUUUACCUUAAGUGGCGAUUAAUUCAUACAUACAUACAUACAUACGUAUAUUCCACAGUGGUUGUAGUGGAACGAGCAAAGCAAUUCUUAAAUUGUGAAAAUGUCAAAAAUGUCAAAACGUUGUCGGCGCAUAGACAAGCUGGCAUAUUACCCAAAAGCGAUGGCUUGUAUAUACAUAUGUACAUAUAUUCAUAUGUAGGUAUGUAUGUACAUUCGGUUAAGUAAUUGUAAAUGCAGGCAUGUACAAAAAUGUAUAUAUGUACAUAAAUACAUAGAUAUAUUUUUGUUUGAAUUGAUUGGAUAUCCAGGCGUGCGGACCUAAAGCAACAUCCUUGCAAUUCAGUCGCGCCAUGCGGUAAUCUAUCAUAAUUUUUAUAUCCUAAAAUCCCAUUUUCGUAUUAUGGCAAAUGUCUGCAAACGAAUACAUAUACUUAUACAUAGUAUGUAAUAAAAUACCUACAAAAUUGCACUUUCUUGAAUAGGUAUGUAUUUCAUUUCUUUUCAUGGGUGUUGGUUCGUAUAAUUUUCCCAGC